CCCUUAGAUGUUCUGGGCCGCACACGCGCUACACUGAAGGAGGCAGCGUGUACUCCUGGAUCGAAAGAUUUGGGUAACCCGCGAAUCUCCUUCGUGCUAGGGAUUGAGGUUUGCAAUUAUCCUUCAUGAACGAGGAAUUCCCAGUAAGUGCAAGUCAUAAGCUUGCGCUGACUACGUCCCUGCCCUUUGCACACACCGCCCGUCGCUACUACCGAUUGAAUGAUUUAGUGAGGACUUCGGACUGGGACCGAUGCGGCUUUCGGGCUGCGUCGGUAUUCUGGAAAGAUGUCCAAACUGUAUCAUUUAGAGGAAGUAAAANUCGUAACA
rnacentral:rRNA from 1 species